rfam:Bacteroidetes bacterium GWE2_40_15 gwe2_scaffold_219, whole genome shotgun sequence.
AAUUAUGUGGAGAGAUUUGACUGCUUGCAACCACUUUAAAAAAAUGCUAAAACGUUCCAU